CCAUGUCUUUCUCAUCUAUUUUACAAAAGACUAAAAUAUAAUUGUCACAUAUGAAUUUUAAUAAAAAAAUAAUGAACAUUGAUGAUUAUCAAUUCAGAGAGCUGAAGGGAUACACAUGACGUAUUGAUUCGAGGGAUUUAGCAUUAGUUCCAAUUUCAUAAAUUGUUUCUUGCAACUCCAAAGUGUUAAAAAGUGUUAAAAAUUAUUUAAUUUAUGCUAACAAGGCAUGUACUUUUUUACAUAUAAAUCAAUCAAAAUAUUAUGUUUAUUACAUACUAAAAGAGGAAAAAAAACAUGACACCAAUUAUAAUGUUUGUUUAUGCUUUGAUUAUCUUUCUUUUUCUAUUUAUAAUUGAAACCAAUGGAGAAAAAAUUCCAUGCUUUACUGUGAAGGAUUGUCCAACGAAGUUAUAUUAUUUGUCAAAAUGUGUUAGAUAUGUUUGUGAGUUCAUUUGAAAUCAUUAAUUAAGUUUUAAAAUAAGCUUCCUUAACUAUAAGGUUUAUUUUUAUUUGUAUGUCAAUAAUGUUUGUACGUUUAUAAUUUACUUUAAAAGUUGAUUUGUUUUUCUGUCCUUUCAUAGUAAUAUUCACAUCUUUUUUAAGAAAUAAAGAGAAUAUCUCCUUUGUAUUAACCACAACAAUAUUACACCAAAUCCGGCCUUCAAGAACACUCUUGAAGUCAACAUUCAUAAAAGUCUUGGCACAAUAUAAUCAUUUA